CUCGCUCGGUAUGGAUCUGGCCCUGUGCAGUUUUAGCGCGACAUUUGGGUGCGAUGAAAUCGUGUCCUCGUCAGGGACACGUAAUUCUGACGGGCAGCGUUUGAUAAAAGGUGGGAAACGUAAUUGAAUAAAAACGCUCGUGGCCGUAAGGGUGGGUGAAUAAUUAAGGACGACGUGCAAUUGAGUGCACGUGAGGCUGGAAGCUGGUGCGUGGCAUUUCUCACUGAGGAGGUGUUGUGUUAGAAGAAUUUUUUUCACGAUUUGGUGACUCUUUUCAUCUGAAACAUAGUGGUUUCCAACUAUGGUCAAUAGGUUCAACCACAUAUUGCCUGUGACAGGAAGGUAUCGAUGAAUGUGAUGCAACUAGGGUUGACACUUUGAGAGCAGCUGGAGCCUGAGAAUGUAUGAUGUGGAAUGAAGUUGCCAUGAAUAAAAUGAAUGUAGAUUUAUGUGCAAUACGGCGACAACAACUAUAACAAUGUGAUAUAUUGGAUCAAAAAAAUACUUUGACGGAUGACAUGAAGCCGUUUGUCCGGCUCGUUGUGUACCGGAACAGAUGCUAAUGAUGUGUGCGCCCAGCGAUACAGAAAUGUUGUGAAAAUUGUUGUAUGAAUAGCGACAUUCCAAAACACUGGAUUGACAUGGACUGGGAUUGCGAAUGAUUGAUGUGACUCGGCAUAUUAGUGAAUAUGGAAACGAAUGAAAUAACACACAAAUACCAAAGGGUUUAUUAUGGAUCAUUGUCCACUUUCAUUGCCGGUUUAUGGUAAUUUCUUUUCAGACAUUAUAAAAUCGAAUGGAAAGCAAUCAUCUAGUGAGUGAAAACUGGUGAGGUUAGGUAUUUUUCAUUUGAUCUUCAAUGUUUAUGAAACUGAAAAAUUCAGAUAAUUUCCACAUGUAGGGGAAGACGGGGUAAGAUCGUCCCCCUAAGAAAACCAAUUUUCAGUUCAACGUCCUUUAGGAUUUCCCCUAUUCGUUGUGCUACAUAUCAUUGAGCAUAUGAUAAUCUACUACUAAAAAUGUGUAACUGUUGAUUGUAUAACUUUUUCGGAGUUUUUUCAUUAAUUUUUGAAAUGAUAAAAAAACACUUCUUAUUUUGCUGGCGGAGUAAAAGGGCCACCCGCGGGUAGACGGAGCGAUACUAUUUUCAAACAGUUAAGUCUAGUGAUAAUAACAGGAACAGUGUUGUUUAAGGUACUAAAUGUUUAAGGUUGUUCAUAAACUACACACAAACAACUGAAAAGGCUAUCUAUAUUCCAUGUGCAGAGUUUUCAAAAAAUUCGUGAAAAUCUUGCCCUAUUAUCGGACGAUUAUCUACGUACUUUCUAAAAAUCUGUUCACGUGAAGUCUUAAUGACCCCGAAGUAGGUAUUUCUGGUUCCGAUUCGAUAUGUUGAUAUCACAACCUGGGGCAUUUUUACCCCGUCGAAAAUGGUCCGCACUUUACACGCAUUUUAUAUUAUAUUUUACAUACCUUUUCAUGCAAGCACAAUCGGAACAAUCUACUGAAGGACUGGAAUACUGGCAAUUAACGGAAUAUACAGUUUUUGUUGGAGAAAUUCUUAUUUAGGUUACCUUGAAAAUUAAAUCGCUUGCAACUGCAAUAGACGAAAACUUUGUUUUGUUUACAAUUUUGAUAUUUCGUGCGCUAGUUAACGAUUGAACCCUAGACACAACCAGCCCAUCGUCAGCAUAAUCGCGUAUCGCAUGAGAAGCGAUAUGAGCCGCCGCAGAUAAACAAACAUCAUUUCUGCUGAGUGGACAACCACCGCGGGACUGUCAUCAGUUAGUUUACAUAUAGCCUGGAGAGAUGAAAUAAAAUAGUCUUAACUUCAUCACCGACGAGUGCAGUCGAAUUUUUAUUUUUAAAAAGAAAACCCUAGAAAAUAUUUAACUGGCGCCCGAGUAGGGACCUCGCCAGUGUGGGAAGAGUAUAAGGUUUUGUGUUGUGAAUUCGUAAAAAAGUGAAGAAAUCAAAUUCAACAAUUAGGUUCAACGAGCCUUCAUCACGAAACCGAAGCGGAACCAGGACACCGAGUUUGUUAAACUCAAUCGCUAUUGGGACCCCGAGUAGCAGCCCAUCAAGGACGGCAAAAGGAUUUACCCCGACAUAGCUGCCUGGUUUUCCCCCCACCAAGCGAGGUUAGCGAGGAAUCAACACAAAAAGUCCAACUCUUGUUUCGACAAUGUUGGCAUUUAUAAAACAAAACUCAUUGCACCCCACUGCACAGGCGAUCGGCUUCAUCAUCGAAAUUGCAGCAGUUCGAUAGACCGGACCUGAGCGAGCACAAAAUUUACGACUCGGAUGAGAGCGAUCUGCACCGGAUAUCGCUUGCCCGGGGGCCAUAUUUAGAUUUAUCUGAGUCGAAGACCCUUGUAGGAAAGACCGCCCAUCUCAAAUGCCGGAUGUGGAAUAUGGCAAUGAAACGGAGGGUUCGACUUCGUAAUAUACACAGAUGAACGAUGAGUGGAUUCACAUACUCAUCGGAUCAUGAAUCCGAAGUGUGAACAACCUCCUUCCAGAUGAUUGGUCGUUACAGUUAGAACUGACCUUGACCAUCGGUUUACCAUCUGACAUACGUACUGAUGCUUUUCCUAGGAUCUAGGAUUGAGAAGAUAACAUCAGCGAAAUCAAAUUGAUUUCUGCAAAACUCGAUUCUAGAGAUUUUAUCUAUCGAGACUCUUAUCGCUGGUCUUUGUCACGGUUAAAACGAAAAGGAGGAGACUGCGAAAAUGGAAAGAAAAUAACAACCAUCGAAAUAUGGACUGAGAGCGGAAGAUUUUGUUGCUAGAUUUGAUACCCAAAAUGUAGCAGGAUAAGCUCAAAACAAAUGUCGAUUGUUAAACAGCUUAGUGCCACUCGUGACGCAAAAAAAAUCUGAUACAGAUUUUUGUUUUUCAUUUUUGUCAUCAGUAUCCAUACGAAUCGAAGUCUAUCCUAUAAAAUCUGUGAUUUAAACUACGCAUUGACAAGUUAUUACAUUCAAACUAUUUAUUGUAAAAUUAAGGUGUGAAAUUAGGGAAUAAAAAUGAUGUACAGAAGUAUAUUUUUAAAUAAAAAAAGUCAUCAAUUGAGUCGGU